rnacentral:tRNA from 1 species
GCGCCCUUAGCUCAGUAGGAUAGAGCGGCGGCCUUCUAAUCCGCAUGUCGGGGGUUCGAAUCCCUCAGGGCGCGCCA